rnacentral:rRNA from 1 species
CCUACGGGAGGCAGCAGUGAGGAAUAUUGGUCAAUGGCCGGGAGGCUGAACCAGCCAAGUCGCGUGAGGGAAGACGGCCCUACGGGUUGUAAACCUCUUUUGUCAGGGAGCAAGGUGCAGGUCGGGACCUGCUGUGAGAGUACCUGAAGAAAAAGCAUCGGCUAACUCCUUGCCAGCAGCCGCGGUAAUACGGAGGAUGCGAGCGUUAUCCGGAUUUAUUGGGUUGAAAGGGUGCGCAGGCGGAGGCACAAGUCAGCGGUAAAAUCGCGGGGCUCAACCCCGCUCCGCCGUUGAAACUGUGUGCCUUGAGUGCGCGAAGGGUAGGCGGAAUGCGUGGUGUAGCGGUGAAAUGCAUAGAUAUCACGCAGAACUCCGAUCGCGAAGGCAGCCUACCGGCGCGCAACUGACGCUCAUGCACGAAAGCGUGGGUAUCGAACAGGAUUAGAUACCCGGGUAGUC